AGGACGAACGCUGGCGGCGUGCCUAACACAUGCAAGUCGAACGCGCUCCAUUCGGUAGCAAUACUGAUGAAGAGCGAGUGGCGAACGGGUGAGUAGCACGUGAGCAACCUGCCCCGAAGACCGGGACAACACCGGGAAACCGGUGCUAAUACCGGAUAUCCCUAUCGGACCGCAUGAUCUGAUAAGGAAAUGGAUUCCGCUUCGGGAGGGGCUCGCGGCCUAUCAGCUAGUUGGUGAGGUAACAGCCCACCAAGGCAUCGACGGGUAGCUGGUCUGAGAGGACGAUCAGCCACACUGGGACUGAGACACGGCCCAGACUCCUACGGGAGGCAGCAGUGGGGAAUCUUGCGCAAUGGGCGAAAGCCUGACGCAGCAACGCCGCGUGGAGGACGAAGGCUUUCUGAGUUGUAAACUCCUUUCAGCAGGGACGAUAGUGACGGUACCUGCAGAAGAGCACCGGCAACUACGCGCCAGCAGCCG
rnacentral:rRNA from 1 species